GGUAAGAAAAUUUUGUGCCAAAUUCAUCAUAUAUUCAAACAAGUAUUAUAUUAAAAAUAACAAUUACUUAAUGGGAGAGGCGAACGGGUGUGAAUGAGGGCUUGGCAACGUUGCCAAAAGAAAUACCCAUGUUUUUUUUUUCGACAGUGUCUCGAGAUAUCCGGUUUGUGUCGAAUUCGUAAAAAAAGUCAUUUUGUAAGUACCUACUCAAAAGAACUUGGAAAAGAUCAGAAGCGUUCCCUGCGGUAAUGUUUCUGUAAUACAUAUAUUUAAAUUACUGCGUUAAUGCAACAUUUUCAAGUCUCACAAUCAGUCAAUCUUUAUUGACUAUUGCAAUAGCAUAUUCCUUGGAAAGCAUCUCUGAUUAUGAAGUUAUUUGCGCACUUUUAAGCAAUUUCACGUGAUUUUAUUAUAGUUUUUAAUCAGUUGUUUCCUCACAUUUUUUCCGGCCUCAUUUUUCGUUAUUUAAGGCGCAAGUCUAACUACUCGCGAACUGGUGUGUAUGGUCAUGAGGCUCAACCUGAGAGAACGUAUUACUGGUGGUAGGACGUCUUGUAAGUAAGCACGGGUAGGUAGCACCACCGUGCCGUUAAGCAGUAAUGUAUAUUAAUGUGAAAAUGGCAAACAGCAACUAUUUAAGAACCAGAUAUUAUUAAUUAUUUCUCGAAGCCGAAACGAUAAUACGUGCCUAGUCUAAUGUAAACGAAAAACAAUAUUUGAAUACGUAAUAAAACAGGGUAAACACUUGUUUAAUAGUUCUCAUAAAUUCGUGUUUCUUGAGCUUGCAAUGUAACGCAAAGGAAGCUGGCCGCCAUUAUACCACACGCGUUGCAUUCCCUUCAGGCAAUUGACCUGCGAAUUACUUAAUGGUUUUUUAUUUGUGCUACAUUGCGUAGUAUAGAAAUCUAAAUAAAAUCUGACAGUGCAAUCACCUAAACGAGCCGCCCUCUACAUUUCUAAGAAAUGUUUCAAUUAAAUCUGUAUUUUGUUAGAUCAUUGACAAGAUCUUCCUAUACAUUCCAGUUUAUAAUAUUAGAUAAUAUACAGGCAAAAGAUUAAAUAUAUUCCCUUGAUACGCAAACAAAACUUAUUGGUUUAACAGGAAAAACAAAAGAACUAAAAUAUUCCACCUGUUCUCGCUACGAUACCGACGACAUUGGCUCGUAGCCAGAAAACAAUUGCGAUUGUUCUAAAAGAGUUUACAAUUUGUUUGAACGUAGAUUAUUACUCUAUUGUAAAUCACGAAGAAAUAAGAAUACGCGCUUAACUUUAUCAACAAUAUAAUUCAUUACAAUAGGCUAGGUUCAUUUUGAAAUUGCAAUAUAAAUUGGUCGAUUUAUUUUCACAGUUUCAUCUAAACUAAAAACUAUUGACUUCUUAUUCUCCAUGCAUAAGACGAUACGUAUUUAUAUCUUAAAUCACGAAGAAUUAAGAAAUACGUACUUAACUUUAUCAACAGGAUAAUUCGUUACAAUAAAUUAGAUUUAUUUUGAAAUAGCAAAAUAAAUUGACCGCUUUAUUUUGCACAGUUUAAUCUCAACUGAAAACUAUUGACAUCUUAUUCCCCAUGCAUGAGACGAUACAUGUUUGUAUGUUGAAAGUAAAAAGUGUGCGUAAAUUAUUUUGAAAAAUUACAUUCCCGCUUAAAGCGUGGCACAGCCGUUAUAUAAUAAUACAACUAGCGAACCCGACAGACGUCUGUCUGUACACACACGUCUUAAAUACGAAAAUUUCAAACUUUUUUGAAUAUUUUUUAAUAAUCUGGACUGUUUGACGAAUUUAACAAUAUUCAAUUGAGAAUGUAAACCAUUCUCGAACACCCAUAAAUUAAACUAGAAUACUCACGGGUAGAAGAACUAUUUAAACAUUAAGAUUGAUUCUAAUUUGAUCUCAAGGUGGGUGGCGGCAUUCCCGUUAUAAAGUUAAUGGACCCCGGUGGUCGCUUUCUACGGGUGAGGCAUGAGCAAGUUCACCGAAAUUCGUAUUUUAAAAAAAACGUAAGCGAGUGAUGAAUUUAAAAAAAAUCAAAGUAAUCCAACAAAGAUUUUUAAGCCGCACACAUUUUUAACCUCAUUGUAUUCAAGCGGUCCUUGAAGAAACAUCCCAUUGAAAUUGUAACACAAGAAUCUAAUUUGAAAUGAACCGCCUCGACCCGAAAACCCGAAUUAAAAAUGUCUGGACGCUUGAGAAAUACGAUAAAACACGAUUUUAUAACCUCAUCGCCAAAAAUUGAUGACUCAUUUUUAAUUAUACAAAAUCAAAACAGGUUACAAUGUUUUUAUCAGUUUUUUUUUUAUAUACAAUCCUCGGGUCGCGACAUUCGAACUAGUGAUAAAUCCCCCAUAAUUUUAAUGAAUAAAAAUUUACCAUAACGGCUUUCACAAAACGGUGAAUGUUAAAGGAAAUACUUAUCCAGAACUGAGCUAAAUACUAAUUUAAAAAUAAAAUUAUUGGUGAACUCUAAUAUUAUUAUUUUUUCUUCUAGCUUUGUGUAUUCAUAAUUUCGUUUAACAAAAUAAUAUCUAGGUAUUACAAGGAAACCGUUUAUAUUUUUCCGAAUAAAAAGCAGCCUAGAAUAUUUUUCAUGAAAUUUUCUACUUACCAGUGUGCCGGUCAAAAUUGGAUUAAUCCUUUCGAAGAUUAUCCCAUACACACAAAAAUUUUAAUAUGUGAUCUUUGUAGUAAACAACCAGACAUAUGAUCUCAAAACAGCCCACAGACGACCACUUAAAUUUUUUUCAAAUUUGAAAAAAUACGUCCAAUAUAUUCGUCUUAAUACGUUAUAAUUUUAAGUAUGUUUAUGUUCAUGAGUAUAUGUUUUGAGUAUGUUAGAUAGUUGUAAAAGAUAGGCAUUUUAUAUAUCUACUAGCGACCCGCCCUCGCUUCGCUUCGGAAACAUUAAAUUUUAUUAUUGAUAGCCGAAGCCCGCCAUGUUGCGCGCGGUACGACAAUAACUGCGGGUGACGCCGCGGGGCGAAGCUAGUCUAAAAAAAGUAGCCAAGUUACUCCUUACAUCAUCAGCUACCUAUUAAUGAAAGUCUCAUCAAAAUCGGUCCCGCCGUUCCAGAGAUUAGCCGGAACAAACAGACAGACAGACAAAAAUUGUAAAAAAUGUUGUUUUGGUGUAUGUACCGUAUAUAUAUUCAUAUGGAUGUAGUAAAAAGCGCUUAUUUCAAUAUUACAAACAGAUACUGCAAUUUUAUUUAUAUAUUGUAUAGAUUGAUACUCUAUGAUAUUCGAAAUUAAGUUAAAAUUAUACUUUCCACGUUAUGCGGCCUCGAGAUAUUUUCGGGUAUCGGAAACACUUAAUGUACAAGACAACAACAAGUACCUACCGUAUAAACCACACGAAUAUUAAAUAUUUUUACAAAGAUACCGAUUUCGACCAUAGUCAGGCUCACUAACAUAGUACCUAAUAGAUAAUUUUCGCAUGAAAAUCGAUGGUCGAAUAUUGGUUUGUUAUUAAUAAAAAAAUAUACUAAAUAAAGAAACCUUUAAGUAUUCUUCGUCAUAGAAUCUACCUUUUUUAUUGCUUAGGGCAAUGGACGAGUUUACGGCCCACCAGGUGACUGCUAGCGGAGCCCAUAGACACCAACAACGUAAAUGUUACCUCCCACCUUGAAACACAUGAGCUCUAAAUCUCAGUUUUUACAGUACAAUGCCUGUAAGUAGUAGAUGCCCUACCACCAGUAAUUACGCAAAUUAUGAUGUUGUCGGGUUCGAUUUUUAUAGCACGAUGUUAUUUCUUCACCGUGCAAGUCAUACGUAAGUGUGUAUUUCAUCUGAAACCACGACCACUUCACUAACUAAUUGUAAAGUAAGCUUUAUCCAUAAUCUACAACUAUUAAAUAUAUAAUUAUGGCCUUCUUAUUCAGGUUUAUCUACACACCGAUGAUGUUACUAUUCACACUAAUAAUCAAAAGAGAGCAAAAUGAGUCAUGCUGAGUCAUGUGAGGUCGUGCUGAAAGCAGUGCUCUUUGUGCUUAGCUUAUCCAGCGGUGCUCGAUACAGCAGAUUUCUACAGCUAUGUAAAUGAAUUUUUAUGUACAUCUGCUGAUGAAUUUACAAUCGUUUUCGAUACUCACCUGCGAGAGCCUCGGCACGUAAUCGAUGUACGGGAUAUGAUAGUACGGGAGCAGAGACGAUAGGUAGUACACUGAAGACAGAGGCUGCUGCGAAAUAUUCCCGUUGGUACAUUUUUUUGAUGUGUAAACACCUUCGUUUGUUUGUUAUAAUAUGAUCUGUGCUCUUUAUAUACCUAUAGCGCGUGUUUAAUUUUCCUCUCACUAUUCUUUUAUCCGAUUUUUGUGUAUCUAAAUAGUUGUCAACAUAUUUUCUUUUAUUUUAAUAGGUAACCAUUUGUUGAAUUUGUAAUAAAAUAAAUGUCUAAAGUUAAUUGUUGUAUAAUUUUAAUUUGCUAAUUUCGUGUUGGCAUACGUAAAUGAGGAAAAUAUUGAUAAUAUGUUCCGAGUGUGUAAAUUCGUUGAACAGUUAUAGAAUUUAUCUUUGUAUGUUUUUUAAUCGUAAAAGUGUAGCCAACAAAAUUUAGGAAACAUUUGUUAGUGACAAAGAUCGCGCUCAUCAUCGAUCUGUCAGAAGUCAGGAAUAGAAACACAAAGAAAAAAGGAAUAUUAGAAAGUCGCAAGCUUUAUUAAAUUUCAGUCUAAAUCACAUAAAUAAUAAUUUUAACUAUAAUAAAUUACAUAGAAAGCUAGAUCCACGUCCACUUGUCGUAUUAAAGUAGAGCGAUCACAUUGCGUUACAGCGAAUACUGAUUAUGUGGUUACAAGAGAGGGUGCCGGAACGGGGUUAGGAGUUAGGACAGGCUAGGGGCUGGUCGGGAGCCGGGACGCUAAACGCGAUAAGAGUAGUGACGGUAAGUGGUGCCGUAGGGCAGGCGGCCGCUGCUGGUGGACGAGUAGGAGUAGCCUCCGGGACCGCCGAGGUUGCUGGAGCGUUCGCUGGUGUAGGAGUAGCCCCCGGGGCCGCUGCCGGUGCGGCGCUCCACCGUGUUGCUGUACGAGCUGCGCUGAGGCAGGCCGCUGCCCGCCGAGCGCUGGCUUGUGCUCGAGUACGAGUACGAGUACUGCUCCUCGGCACGACGUGGCGCGAUCGGGUCGCGGUCCACCACCACGUAGUGCCGCGGCGUCUGCAACAACCGCGUCCUUAAUCGCCGUCCGAACGCCGCCCGCCCUCGCACCGACCCGACCAAUUACCUACUCUAGCGAGCGAAAGCGACACACGACAACGAACGACUCUGCCACCGCGCAGUCCUCUCAGUACGUGGCGUAGUUACUGUAGUAAACGUGACGAUGCGCCGCGUGCAGCGGGCGGCCGUGCGCCUGGGCGAGCAGCACGUCCAUGUGGUCGCGCGGCGUGCCCAGAGGGUCCGCCUCGAACGCGCGCUCCCGCUGUCCAACGGUAGAAAGCACACGCGCGCGCGUUUGUUCGCGCGGAGAUACGUAAGGCGCGAGAGGCGCCAACUUCGACUCCGGUUUCGGCGGGAUGUUUUGUUUGGUGACGGGGUCCAGCACGGAGGCGCGCGUGCCCGGCUUGGUGCGCCGCCCGAAGGCCGUCACCGGGUCGGGCACGAGACUCGGCCGCGGCACGAACGGCACCUUCUCCCAGUCCCCGAGCGUCGACCGC